rnacentral:rRNA from 1 species
AGCAUAUCAAUAAGCGGAGGAAAAGAAACCAACAGGGAUUGCCUUAGUAACGGCGAGUGAAGCGGCAACAGCUCAAAUUUGAAAGCUGGCUCCUUUGGAGUCCGCGUUGUAAUUUGUAGAGGAUGAUUCGGCAAGGGCUCCCGCCUAAGUCUCCUGGAACGGAGCGUCAUAGAGGGUGAGAAUCCCGUAUGCGGUGGGCUGCCUAAGCCAUGUGAAUCUCCUUCGACGAGUCGAGUUGUUUGGGAAUGCAGCUCUAAAUGGGAGGUAAAUUUCUUCUAAAGCUAAAUACCGGCCAGAGACCGAUAGCGCACAAGUAGAGUGAUCGAAAGAUGAAAAGCACUUUGGAAAGAGAGUUAAAAAGUACGUGAAAUUGUUGAAAGGGAAGCGCUUGCAGCCAGACUUGUCCGCAGUUGCUCAGCCGGUCUCCUGACCGGUGUACUCUUCUGCGGCCAGGCCAGCAUCAGUUCGGGCGGUCGGAUAAAGACCUCGGGAAUGUAGCUCCUCUCGGGGAGUGUUAUAGCCCGGGGUGGAAUGCGGCCAGCCUGGACUGAGGAUCUCGCUUCGGCUAGGAUGCUGGCGUAAUGGCUGUAAGCGGCCCGUCUUGAAACACGGACCAAGGAGUCUAACAUCUAUGCGAGUGUUUGGGUGUCAAACCCAUGCGCGUAAUGAAAGUGAACGGAGGUGGGAACCCUCACGGGUGCACCAUCGACCGAUCCUGAUGUCUUCGGAUGGAUUUGAGUAAGAGCAUAGCUGUUGGGACCCGAAAGAUGGUGAACUAUGCCUGAAUAGGGUGAAGCCAGAGGAAACUCUGGUGGAGGCUCGCAGCGGUUCUGACGUGCAAAUCGAUCGUCAAAUUUGGGUAUAGGGGCGAAAGACUAAUCGAACCAUCUAGUAGCUGGUUCCUGC